rnacentral:rRNA from 1 species
UACGUAGGAGGCAAGCGUUGUCCGGAAUUACUGGGCGUAAAGCGCGUGUAGGUGGUGGGACAAGUCUGCUGUGAAAGCGCCUGGCUUAACCGGGCGAGGUCGGCGGAAACUGUCCGACUCGAGGACGGUAGAGGGGGGUGGAAUUCCCGGUGUAGUGGUGAAAUGCGUAGAGAUCGGGAGGAACACCUGUGGCGAAGGCGGCCCCCUGGGCCGGCCCUGACACUGAGACGCGAAGGCGUGGGGAGCGAAUGGG